rnacentral:rRNA from 1 species
UACGUAGGGUGCGAGCGUUGUCCGGAAUUAUUGGGCGUAAAGAGCUUGUAGGCGGUUUGUCGCGUCUGCCGUGAAAAUUCGAGGCUCGACCUCGAACUUGCGGUGGGUACGGGCAGACUAGAGUGUGGUAGGGGAGACUGGAAUUCCUGGUGUAGCGGUGAAAUGCGCAGAUAUCAGGAGGAACACCGAUGGCGAAGGCAGGUCUCUGGGCCACUACUGACGCUGAGAAGCGAAAGCAUGGGGAGCGAACAGG